UAGGGAAUUUUCGGCAAUGGGCGAAAGCCUGACCGAGCAAUGCCGCGUGAAUGAUGAAGGUCUUCGGAUUGUAAAGUUCUGUUAUUGGGGAAGAAUGUAUUUAACAGGAAAUGGUUAAGUAAGUGACGGUACUCAAUGAGAAAGCCCCGGCUAACUAUGUGCCAGCAGCCGCGGUAAUACAUAGGGGGCGAGCGUUAUCCGGAAUUAUUGGGCGUAAAGCGUGCGUAGGCGGUUAUUUAAGUCUGGUGUGAAAUCUUAGGGCUUAACCCUGAGUGGUCAUUGGAAACUGGAUAACUUGAGUAUGGCAGAGGUAAAUGGAAUUCCUAGUGUAGCGGUGGAAUGCGUAGAUAUUAGGAGGAACACCAGUGGCGAAGGCGAUUUACUGGGCCAGCACUGACGCUGAGGCACGAAAGCGUGGGGAGCAAACA
rnacentral:rRNA from 1 species